UACGGAGGAUCCAAGCGUUGUCCGGAUUUAUUGGGUUUAAAGGGUGCGUAGGCGGUUUGUUAAGUCAGUGGUGAAAGUUUGCGGCUUAACCGUAAAAUUGCCAUUGAAACUGACAGACUUGAAUUUGGUUGAGGUUGCCGGAAUGUGUCAUGUAGCGGUGAAAUGCUUAGAUAUGAUACAGAACACCAAUUGCGAAGGCAGGUAACUAAACCAAUAUUGACGCUGAGGCACGAAAGCGUGGGGAUCAAACAGG
rnacentral:rRNA from 1 species